CUCCGGUUGAUCCUGCCGGACCCGACUGCUAUCAGAGUGGGACUAAGCCAUGCGAGUCAACAUAGCAAUAUGUGGCAUACGGCUCAGUAACACGUAGUCAACAUGCCCAGGGGACGUGGAUAACCUCGGGAAACUGAGGAUAAACCGCGAUAGGUCAUCACUUCUGGAAUGGGUAAUGACUUAAAUCUAUAUGGCCCCUGGAUUGGACUGCGGCCGAUCAGGCUGUUGGUGAGGUAAUGGCCCACCAAACCUGUAACCGGUACGGGCUCUGAGAGGAGGAGCCCGGAGAUGGGCACUGAGACAAGGGCCCAGGCCCUAUGGGGCGCAGCAGGCGCGAAACCUCUGCAAUAGGCGAAAGCUUGACAGGGUUACUCUGAGUGAUUUCCGUUAAGGAGAUCUUUUGGCACCUCUAAAAAUGGUGCAGAAUAAGGGGUGGGCAAGUCUGGUGUCAGCCGCCGCGGUAAUACCAGCACCCCGAGUGGUCGGGACGUUUAUUGGGCCUAAAGCAUCCGUAGCCGGUUCUACAAGUCUUCCGUUAAAUCCACCUGCUUAACAGAUGGGCUGCGGAAGAUACUAUAGAGCUAGGAGGCGGGAGAGGCAAGCGGUACUCGAUGGGUAGGGGUAAAAUCCGUUGAUCCAUUGAAGACCACCAGUGGCGAAGGCGGCUUGCCAGAACGCGCUCGACGGUGAGGGAUGAAAGCUGGGGGAGCAAACCGGAUUAGAUACCCGGGUAGUCCCAGCUGUAAACGAUGCAGACUCGGUGAUGAGUUGGCUUCUUGCCAACUCAGUGCCGCAGGGAAGCCGUUAAGUUUGCCGCCUGGGGAGUACGGUCGCAAGACUGAAACUUAAAGGAAUUGGCGGGGGAGCA
rnacentral:rRNA from 1 species